rnacentral:rRNA from 1 species
GGCGGACGGGUGAGUAAUGCGUAGGAAUUUACCUCAAAGCGGGGGAUAGCCCGGAGAAAUCCGGAUUAAUACCGCAUGUGCUCUACGGAGUAAAGUGGGCCUCUUCUUGAAAGCUCGCACUUUGAGAUAAGCCUACGUCGGAUUAGCUUGUUGGUAGGGUAAAAGCCUACCAAGGCGACGAUCCGUAGCUGGUUUGAGAGGAUGAUCAGCCACACUGGGACUGAGACACGGCCCAG